rnacentral:rRNA from 1 species
AGUGAACGCUGGCGGUAGGCCUAACACAUGCAAGUCGAACGGCAGCACAGUAAGAGCUUGCUCUUACGGGUGGCGAGUGGCGGACGGGUCAGGUAUACAUCGGAAUCUACUUUUUCGUGGGGGCUAACGUAGGGAAACUUACGCUAAUACCGCAUACGACCUACGGGUGAAAGCAGGGGAUCUUCGUACCUUUCGCGAUUGAAUGAGCCGAUGUCGGAUUAGCUAGUUGGUGGGCUAAAGGCCCACCAAGCCGACGAUCCGUAGCAGGUCUGAGAGGAUGAUCAGCCACAGUGGAACUGAGACGCGGGCCAGACUCCUACGGGAGGCAGCAGUGGGGAAUAUUGGCCAAUGGGCGCAAACCUGAUCCAGCCAUACCGCGUGUGUGAAAAAGGCCUUCGGGUAGUAAAGCCCUUUUGUUGGGAAAGAAAAGCAGCAGGUUAAUACCCCGCUAUUCUGACGGUACCCAAAGAAUAAGCACCGGCUAACUUCGUG